rnacentral:rRNA from 1 species
GACGAACGCUGGCGGCGGGCUUAACACAUGCAAGUCGAACGGAAAGGCCCUGCUUUUGUGGGGUGCUCGAGUGGCGAACGGGUGAGUAACACGUGAGUAACCUGCCCUUGACUUUGGGAUAACUUCAGGAAACUGGGGCUAAUACCGGAUAGGAGCUCCUGCUGCAUGGUGGGGGUUGGACAGUUUAGGCGGUUGGGGGUGGUCUCGCGGCUUAUCAGCUUGUUGGUGGGGUAGUGGCUUACCAAGGCUUUGCCGCGUAGCCGGCCUGAGAGGGUGACCGGCCACAUUGGGACUGGAAUGCGGCCCAGACUCGUAUGGGAGGCAGCAGUGGGGAAUAUUGCACUAUGGGCGGAAGCCUGCUGUAGCAACGCCGCGUGCGGGAUGACGGCCUUCGGGUAGUAAACCGCUUUCGCCUGUGACGAAGCGUGAGUGACGGUAAUGGGUAAAGAAGCACCGGCUAACUACGUG